CGGGGGGGGCAAGCGUUGUUCGGAAUUACUGGGCGUAAAGGGCUCGUAGGUGGCCAACUAAGUCGGACGUGAAAUCCCUCGGCUUAACCGGGGAACUGCGCCCGAUACUGGUUGGCUUGAGUUUGGGAGAGGGAUGCGGAAUUCCAGGUGUAGCGGUGAAAUGCGUAGAUAUCUGGAGGAACACCGGUGGCGAAGGCGGCAUCCUGGACCAAUACUGACGCUGAGGAGCGAAAGCCAGGGGAGCAAACGGGAUUAGAUACCCCGGUAGUCCUGGCCCUAAACGAUGAAUGCUUGGUGUGGCGGGUAUCGAUCCCUGCCGUGCCGAAGCUAACGCAUUAAGCAUUCCGCCUGGGGAGUACGGUCGCAAGGCUG
rnacentral:rRNA from 1 species